rnacentral:rRNA from 1 species
AUUGAACGCUGGCGGCAGGCCUAACACAUGCAAGUCGAGCGGAUGAAGGGAGCUUGCUCCUGGAUUCAGCGGCGGACGGGUGAGUAAUGCCUAGGAAUCUGCCUGGUAGUGGGGGAUAACGUCCGGAAACGGGCGCUAAUACCGCAUACGUCCUGAGGGAGAAAGUGGGGGAUCUUCGGACCUCACGCUAUCAGAUGAGCCUAGGUCGGAUUAGCUAGUUGGUGGGGUAAAGGCCUACCAAGGCGACGAUCCGUAACUGGUCUGAGAGGAUGAUCAGUCACACUGGAACUGAGACACGGUCCAGACUCCUACGGGAGGCAGCAGUGGGGAAUAUUGGACAAUGGGCGAAAGCCUAAUCCAGCCAUGCCGCGUGUGUGAAGAAGGUCUUCGGAUUGUAAAGCCCUUUUAGUUGGGAGGAAGAGCAGUAAGUUAAUACCUUGCUGUUUUGACGUUACCAACAGAAUAAGCACCGGCUAACUUCGUG